rnacentral:rRNA from 1 species
AGUGAACCCGGAGAACUGAAACAUCUAAGUACCCGGAGGAGAAGAAAACAAGAGUGAUUGCGUUAGUAGCGGCGAGCGAACGCGCAGUAGCCCAAACCAAAUUUGUUACGGCAAGUUUGGGGUUGUAGGACUGCGACAUUUGAUGCAUAAUGAACUAGAACACGUUGGAAAGCGUGGCCAUAGACGGUGAUAGCCCGGUAUAGGUAAAGAGUGUUAUUGAUAGCAGUAUCCUGAGUAGUGCGGGGCACGUGAAACCCU